GACGAACGCUGGCGGCGUGCUUAACACAUGCAAGUCGAACGGAAAGGCCCUGCUUUUGUGGGGUGCUCGAGUGGCGAACGGGUGAGUAACACGUGAGUAACCUGCCCUUGACUUUGGGAUAACUUCAGGAAACUGGGGCUAAUACCGGAUAGGAGCUCCUGCUGCAUGGUGGGGGUUGGAAAGUUUCGGCGGUUGGGGAUGGACUCGCGGCUUAUCAGCUUGUUGGUGGGGUAGUGGCUUACCAAGGCUUUGACGGGUAGCCGGCCUGAGAGGGUGACCGGCCACAUUGGGACUGAGAUACGGCCCAGACUCCUACGGGAGGCAGCAGUGGGGAAUAUUGCACAAUGGGCGGAAGCCUGAUGCAGCAACGCCGCGUGCGGGAUGACGGCCUUCGGGUUGUAAACCGCUUUCGCCUGUGACGAAGCGUGAGUGACGGUAAUGGGUAAAGAAGCACCGGCUAACUACGUGCCAGCAGCCGCGGUGAUACGUAGGGUGCGAGCGUUGUCCGGAUUUAUUGGGCGUAAAGGGCUCGUAGGUGGUUGAUCGCGUCGGAAGUGUAAUCUUGGGGCUUAACCCUGAGCGUGCUUUCGAUACGGGUUGACUUGAGGAAGGUAGGGGAGAAUGGAAUUCCUGGUGGAGCGGUGGAAUGCGCAGAUAUCAGGAGGAACACCAGUGGCGAAGGCGGUUCUCUGGGCCUUUCCUGACGCUGAGGAGCGAAAGCGUGGGGAGCGAACAGGCUUAGAUACCCUGGUAGUCCACGCUGUAAACGGUGGGUACUAGGUGUGGGGUCCAUUCCACGGGUUCCGUGCCGUAGCUAACGCUUUAAGUACCCCGCCUGGGGAGUACGGCCGCAAGGCUAAAACUCAAAGGAAUUGACGGGGCCCCGCACAAGCGGCGGAGCAUGCGGAUUAAUUCGAUGCAACGCGUAGAACCUUACCUGGGUUUGACAUGGAUCGGGAGUGCUCAGAGAUGGGUGUGCCUCUUUUGGGGUCGGUUCACAGGUGGUGCAUGGCUGUCGUCAGCUCGUGUCGUGAGAUGUUGGGUUAAGUCCCGCAACGAGCGCAACCCUUGUUCACUGUUGCCAGCACGUUAUGGUGGGGACUCAGUGGAGACCGCCGGGGUCAACUCGGAGGAAGGUGGGGAUGACGUCAAGUCAUCAUGCCCCUUAUGUCCAGGGCUUCACGCAUGCUACAAUGGCUGGUACAGAGAGUGGCGAGCCUGUGAGGGUGAGCGAAUCUCGGAAAGCCGGUCUCAGUUCGGAUUGGGUCUGCAACUCGACCUCAUGAAGUCGGAGUCGCUAGUAAUCGCAGAUCAGCAACGCUGCGGUGAAUACGUUCCCGGGGCU
rnacentral:rRNA from 1 species